rnacentral:rRNA from 1 species
CGGCUGCUAAUACUCUAUACUCCUGUCUUACAUAAGUUAGAUAGGGAAAGUUUUUCGGUGUAGGAUGAGGCUAUAUUGUAUCAGCUAGUUGGUGAGGUAAUGGCUCACCAAGGCUAUGACGCAUAACUGGUCUGAGAGGAUGAUCAGUCACACUGGAACUGAGACACGGUCCAGACUCCUACGGGAGGCAGCAGUAGGGAAUAUUGCUCAAUGGGGGAAACCCUGAAGCAGCAACGCCGCGUGGAGGAUGACACUUUUCGGAGCGUAAACUCCUUUUGUUAGGGAAGAACAAUGACGGUACCUAACGAAUAAGCACCGGCUAACUCCGUGCCAGCAGCCGCGGUAAUACGGAGGGUGCAAGCGUUACUCGGAAUCACUGGGCGUAAAGGACGCGUAGGCGGAUUAUCAAGUCUCUUGUGAAAUCCUAUGGCUUAACCAUAGAACUGCUUGGGAAACUGGUAAUCUAGAGUGAGGGAGAGGCAGAUGGAAUUGGUGGUGUAGGGGUAAAAUCCGUAGAGAUCACCAGGAAUACCCAUUGCGAAGGCGAUCUGCUGGAACUCAACUGACGCUAAUGCGUGAAAGCGUGGGGAGCAAACAGGAUUAGAUACCCUGGUAGUCCACGCCCUAAACGAUGUAUACUAGUUGUUGCUAAGCUAGUCUUGGCAGUAAUGCACCUAACGGAUUAAGUAUACCGCCUGGGGAGUACGGUCGCAAGAUUAAAACUCAAAGGAAUAGACGGGGACCCGCACAAGCGGUGGAGCAUGUGGUUUAAUUCGAAGAUACGCGAAGAACCUUACCCGGACUUGAUAUCUAACAAAUCAUCUAGAGAUAGAAGAGUGUCUGCUUGCAGAAAUGUUAAGACAGGUGCUGCACGGCUGUCGUCAGCUCGUGUCGUG